CGGUUCGAUUCCCAUUCUCUCCAUCCUCUCACACUGCUCCUCGUAGAAAUACUCCAGCUCAAACAUGGAGAGGACGCCGUCACCAUCCAGGUCCAUGCAGCGGAACCAAUACUCGAUGCUGCAGAGACGAUUUAGAGAUAUGAGGAACCAGACGAACUCGGCGUAGCUCAUCCUGCCUUCCCUUUGCACAGCACUGCCCCUGAAAACAAGGGAAUCACACUCUUACAUGUUCUAGUGAGGUCAUCGGGUCACCCGUUUGUGUUUAUGGGUGUGUCUCCACUCACCGAGUAACCGCCCCUGAAAACAGCCUCUCAAUAAUCCUGUGUGAGGAGGCUGUCAGAGGAGAGAAUGAGCGUUCCUGCAGAGGAGGAGCAGCACAAACCGCCCGGGUGUUCAGUUUAUGGACUCCCAACAGCGUCUGGUAAAGAAAAGAAUCCUCUACAGGCUCCAGGAGGAAGAAUUUCCUGCCCCUCCCUCGUCAUCUCACAUAGCUGCACCUUGUUGGGACACAUUUGCAGAGCCACACGGAAAAAUUCUGCAAAACCGCGUUAGAAUGGACACGGACAAGAAAAGCCUCAGCACUAUGACACCAUAAACCCGUUCUUAUUUUACCUAUUUUGAAUGAAACAGUGCUUCACAAAACCAAAGGUAUGUGAGCCUUGUAUCUUUACUUUUAAA